GUUUUAACAGGUGUCUGCUGGUCACGGCCUGUUUAAGGUCAAAGUCGUUUUCUGGACCUUACUCGUCGAGAGUCUAGUCUAUUUUGUCUGUUACUUCAGCAGCUGCUGAGAGAGAACUUGAGAACCGAAGCGGGCCAAACAAAACAUGGAAAGGAGAGUCCAUUCUGGAAGCAAAGAAAUGGAUGCUCUCUAUUGAGGGCAAAGUUGUUCUCCAGCUGAGAGACCACUCAGAUUUCACCUCUGCCCUGUCUGUUCUCCUUGGAUCAUACUGUCUUCAACAUUGAGUAUCCAGAGGAAGCAGCCACAUCACUGGAAUUCAUCCAGCGGCUCAGAAAUUAGAAGUUGGAGCUGAUAAGAACUUAAUACCCAACUUGAUGGUGUUCCAGUUCAACAAGAUGGAAGAAAACCAUUGUUUUCAGGUUAGUCAUUG